GCUGAGGAUACUUUUAGACUUGAGACCGAGAGAAGGCAGAGGUACUCUUGGGGUAGGGGUGAAAUCCUAUAAUCCUAAGAGGACCACCUGUGGCGAAAGCGUCUGCCUAGAGCGGGUCUGACGGUGAGGGACGAAAGCUAGAGGAGCGAUCGGGAUUAGAUACCCCGGUAGUUCUAGCUGUAAACGAUGCCCGCUUGGUGUUACAGACCUCUCGGGGGUUUGUAGUGCCGGAGCGUAGUGUUAAGCGGGCCACCUGGGAAGUACGGUCGCAAGACUGAAACUUAAGGGAAUUGGCGGGGGAGCACACAAGGGGUGGGCGUUGCGGUUCAAUUGGAUUCAACGCCGGACA
rnacentral:rRNA from 1 species